GACGAACGCUGGCGGCGUGCUUAACACAUGCAAGUCGAACGGUAAGGCCCUUCGGGGUACACGAGUGGCGAACGUGUGAGUAACACGUGGGUGAUCUGCCCUGCACUUCGGGAUAAGACUGGGAAACUGGGUCUAAUACCGGAUAGGACCACUGCCUGCAUGGGUGGUGGUGGAAAGCUUUUGCGGUGUGGGAUGGGCCCGCGGCCUAUCAGCUUGUUGGUGGGGUGAUGGCCUACCAAGGCGACGACGGGUAGCCGGCCUGAGAGGGUGACCGGCCACACUGGGACUGAGAUACGGCCCAGACUCCUACGGGAGGCAGCAGUGGGGAAUAUUGCACAAUGGGCGCAAGCCUGAUGCAGCGACGCCGCGUGAGGGAUGACGGCCUUCGGGUUGUAAACCUCUUUCAGCACCGACGAAGCGCAAGUGACGGUAGGUGCAGAAGAAGGACCGGCCAACUACGUGCCAGCCGCCGCGGUAA
rnacentral:rRNA from 1 species